CUUUGAUUAUUUCUGCUGGUCGCCUGCAGGAAAUCGAACAAGGACUCGUCCAUGGACCUCCUCCUGGCGCCGGCAACCACAACAACGACCUGGUGCUUCCUGCCGCCCGCUAGAGGACGGCUGGCCGGCGAUGGAGAUCCACGGAGUCCGCUUUGCGCUCGUGGUGGAGACCCUCUUCCCGAUGUCUCCUCCAUGACGCCGCGCCAGCAAGCCAGCGUUCGCAGUUGACGGCUUUGCUCCCUGUCCCGUACCCUCGUCCCUUCCAUCUAGAACGGCGAGUGUAGAAAAAAUUCCCGAUUUUUCAUCUACUACACUAGCAGGAUUUCUAAUCCUGGGAACAAGCAGCCGUUUGUAGGUAGAUUCAUACGAGCUCUACUUGAUGUACUGCAGUUUCUUACUCUACUUCACACUGGUUUCAGCCCAAGGAAGCUUAUGCGAGUCAGUUGCUGCCCACCGGAGCUGUAUUAGAUGUUUACACACUGUAUAUAUUGUCAGUAGAUGUAUAUGCACUAUUAUGUGCUCAAUUCUUUUGAUUUUGUUUGUUGCUUAUUUUUAUGCAGUAGCAGUUCUCAUCAGCGACUUGCACAAAGUUCACCGCGGUGUAGCUCCGGAUGAUUUCUGCAAUCGGGAGGUCGACAACACAAGUUGUGGCAGAGGUCAAUUUUGCAAUUUAUGAGUUGGGGCGGUCCAGAAUAUGAUUUUGAUGUGGUUCAGAAAUAGUGUAGAAGCUGAUUUUGGUUUCUGUAGCAAAUGCUUGAUGGAUUAUGCUAUUCACGUGUAGAGAUACUGUAGAUGUUGAUCAAGUGGUAUGCUAUAGAAUUAUUCGUAUUAUGUUCAUGUUUGCAUUAGGAUUUGAACAAUGUUUUGUACGACCAGAUUAUAUUGAGAAUAUGUGGAUGUGUAUGUUGAA